rnacentral:rRNA from 1 species
UACACUCCUACGGGAGGCAGCAGUGGGGAAUAUUGCACAAUGGGCGCAAGCCUGAUGCAGCCAUGCCGCGUGUAUGAAGAAGGCCUUCGGGUUGUAAAGUACUUUCAGCGGGGAGGAAGGCAAUACGGUUAAUAACCGUGUUGAUUGACGUUACCCGCAGAAGAAGCACCGGCUAACUCCGUGCCAGCAGCCGCGGUAAUACGGAGGGUGCAAGCGUUAAUCGGAAUUACUGGGCGUAAAGCGCACGCAGGCGGUCUGUCAAGUCGGAUGUGAAAUCCCUGGGCUCAACCUGGGAACUGCAUUCGAAACUGGCAGGCUUGAGUCUUGUAGAGGGGGGUAGAAUUCCAGGUGUAGCGGUGAAAUGCGUAGAGAUCUGGAGGAAUACCGGUGGCGAAGGCGGCCCCCUGGACAAAGACUGACGCUCAGGUGCGAAAGCGUGGGGAGCAAACAGGAUUAGAAACCCCUGUAGUCCCAUGA